rnacentral:ribozyme from 1 species
AAAUCACUCCCCAAAUAUACAAAGAAAAUCGAUAGCAAAAAACAGGAAAAAAACCGUAAUAGAGAAAACAAAAACGGGGUUUUUAUUGUGUAUUUGUAUAUUGUAUUUGGUUUUGUAUACUUUUUUUCCUGUCUGUU